rnacentral:lncRNA from 1 species
UUUUUUGCCUGUUUAAAAUUCAUUUUAUUUCAUUUUUAAAUUGAUUUUUAAUUGUUUAAAUGUUUAAAAAUAUUGUUGAGCCAUUUGGUUGAUCUUGUGUUGUUUCAUCUUCAGUUUGGCCUUGAUCAUGGUUGGUUUGAUCUCUCAUUUGAUCAAUAGUAUUGGAUUUAAGGGGAUGAUGAAGUGUACACUUUAUCCCUCAAGAUGAAUGGAUAAUAUUGAUCAGAUGAAAUUCCUCCCAUGAUCAAUUUGGGUUCCC